rnacentral:rRNA from 1 species
UGGGGAAUAUUGCACAAUGGGCGCAAGCCUGAUGCAACCAUGCCGCGUGUAUGAAGAAGGCCUUCGGGUUGUAAAGUACUUUCAGUCGGGAGGAAGGUGGUAAGGUUAAUAACCUUAUCAAUUGACGUUACCGACAGAAGAAGCACCGGCUAACUCCGUGCCAGCAGCCGCGGUAAUACGGAGGGUGCAAGCGUUAAUCGGAAUUACUGGGCGUAAAGCGCACGCAGGCGGUUGAUUGAGUCAGAUGUGAAAUCCCCGGGCUUAACCCGGGAAUUGCAUCUGAUACUGGUCAGCUAGAGUCUUGUAGAGGGGGGUAGAAUUCCAUGUGUAGCGGUGAAAUGCGUAGAGAUGUGGAGGAAUACCGGUGGCGAAGGCGGCCCCCUGGACAAAGACUGACGCUCAGGUGCGAAAGCGUGGGGAGCAAACAGG